rnacentral:rRNA from 1 species
UACGAAGGGGGCUAGCGUUGCUCGGAAUUACUGGGCGUAAAGGGAGCGUAGGCGGGUUAUCAAGUUGGAGGUGAAAGCCCAGGGCUCAACCUUGGAAUUGCCUUCAAAACUGAUAGCCUAGAGUAUGAUAGAGGUAAGUGGAACUCCGAGUGUAGAGGUGAAAUUCGUAGAUAUUCGGAAGAACACCAGUGGCGAAAGCGACUUACUGGAUCAUGACUGACGCUGAGGCUCGAAAGCGUGGGGAGCAAACAGG